GCAGGCUUAACACAUGCAAGUCGAGCGGUAGCAGAUCUAGCUUGCUAGAUGCUGACGAGCGGCGGACGGGUGAGUAACGCAUAGGAACCUGCCCAGUAGUGGGGGAUAGCCCGGGGAAACUCGGAUUAAUACCGCAUACGCUCUACGGAGGAAAGAGGGGCUUCGGGCUCUCGCUAUUGGAUGGGCCUGCGUGAGAUUAGCUAGUUGGUGAGGUAAUGGCUCACCAAGGCGACGAUCUCUAGCUGGUCUGAGAGGAUGAUCAGCCACACUGGGACUGAGACACGGCCCAGACUCCUACGGGAGGCAGCAGUGGGGAAUAUUGCACAAUGGGCGCAAGCCUGAUGCAGCCAUGCCGCGUGUGUGAAGAAGGCUUUCGGGUUGUAAAGCACUUUCAGUGGGGAGGAAGGCCUCGUAGUUAAUAGCUGCGAGGAUUGACGUUACCCACAGAAGAAGCACCGGCUAACUCCGUG
rnacentral:rRNA from 1 species